CAUGACAACAGAACCCACAACAACCAUGACUUUUAUCACCAUCUUCAUCUGGACACUUGCUUUCUACAUCAAGGAAUCUAGAGGACAGUACACUGUGACUCAGACUCCUGCAGUGAAAGCUGUUCUCGAAGGACAGACAGUCUCUCUGAACUGUAAAACCAGCAGUGAUGUGCAUGGUAAUGUCUAUCUAGCCUGGUACCAGCAGAAAAAUGGAGGAACUCCUAAACUCCUUAUUUACUCUGCUACAACACUUCAGUCUGGGAUUCCAUCUAGAUUCAGUGGUAGUGGAUCUGGGAGUGACUUCACUCUGACCAUCAGUGGAGUCCAGGCUGAAGAUGCAGGAGAUUAUUACUGUCAGAGUUUACACUACCCCAACAGUGUCUGGGUGUUCACACAGUGA